UACGUAGGGGGCAAGCGUUAUCCGGAAUCAUUGGGCGUAAGAGUACGUAGGCGGUUUUCUAAGCGCAGGGUCUAAGGCUACAGCUUAACUGUAGUUCGCCCUGUGAACUGGAUAACUUGAGUGCAGGAGAGGAAAGCGGAAUUCCUAGUGUAGCGGUGAAAUGCGUAGAUAUUAGGAGGAACACCAGUGGCGAAGGCGGCUUUCUGGACUGUAACUGACGCUGAGGUACGAAAGUGUGGGGAGCAAACAG
rnacentral:rRNA from 1 species